UACGAAGGGGGCGAGCGUUGUUCGGAUUUACUGGGCGUAAAGGGCGCGCAGGCGGCCAUCUUUGUCAGGCGUGAAAGCCCCGGGCUUAACCUGGGAACUGCGCUUGGGACGGGGUGGCUAGAGAUCAGGAGAGGAGAGUGGAAUUCCCAGUGUAGAGGUGAAAUUCGUAGAUAUUGGGAGGAACACCAGUGGCGAAGGCGACGAACUGGACGAGGACUGACACUGAGGCGCGAAAGCGUGGGGAGCAAACAGG
rnacentral:rRNA from 1 species